rnacentral:rRNA from 1 species
UACGUAGGGGGCAAGCGUUGUCCGGAAUCAUUGGGCGUAAAGCGCGUGUAGGCGGCUCGAUAAGUCUGCUGUGAAAGUCCAGGGCUCAACCCUGGGAUGCCGGUGGAUACUGUCGAGCUCGAGUCCGGAAGAGGCGAGUGGAAUUCCUGGUGUAGCGGUGAAAUGCGCAGAUAUCAGGAGGAACACCAAUGGCGAAGGCAGCUCGCUGGGACGUGACUGACGCUGAGACGCGAAAGCUAGGGGAGCAAACGGG